AUGAUAGCUACAAUUAAAACUAUUAAACACACUGUGCUCUCGUCUGUCUGUCUGUCUCCAGGUGUCUCUCGCCCUCGCCACGCCUUGAUCUCCACCUCGCUGAGGAAGCGCUUCGGGAGGCGGAGCCGGCGUCUCAAGGCGGGGAAAGCCAAUCAGAGCGCGGCUGAGCCGGCCGACUCACCGGAGCAGGACGACACGAACGUCAGGAAGAGCAAAAGAAUCAAGCAGAGCCAGCCGGACGAGGAGAGCACGCCGACGAAGAAGAGGAGGAAGAAGGCCGGAGCGAAGGAGGAGUCCGUCGCCGAGGAGGUGGAGCAGGAGGAGGCCACGCCCCCCAGCCUAGAGAAGAAGAAGAAGAAGAAAAAGAAGACCAUUGGAGGAGAGGAGGCAGGGGGCGGAGCGGACCAAGAGGAGGUCACUCCAGAGCCUCCGGCCAAGAAGAAGAAGAGGACCAGACCGGCAGAAAAGGUGGAGGAGGAACCGGAGGCAGAACCUGAACCUGUCAGGGUGAGAACUAUGAGAGCUCAGUACCCACUUCAUACUGAGCUUCUCUCUCACACAUACUCUCUCUCUAUCUCUCUCACACAUACUCUCCCUUUAUCUCUCUAUCAUACUCUCUCUCUCACUAUUGAACUAUCAUCCGUAUGUAUGUUUGAUGGCAUAAUCGUGAUACAAAAUUGUCUUAGCGUUUCAUCGUGUGUGUGUGUGUGUGUGUGUGUGUGUGUGUGUGUGUGUGUGUGUGUGUGUGUGUGUGUGUGUGUGUGUGUGUGUGUGUGUGUGUGUUCCUACUUGUUCCAUUCAUCUCAUAUUUAUUUACAUAUAUAUAUUUUGGCCCUGACCCUUUUCUUUGCUUAA
rnacentral:lncRNA from 1 species